UAUAUUGUGACUUAUUAACUCUUUAUAGUUGGGCGCGCGAGAGUUCGAUUGGUAUAUUCACGUUCAGUUCAUUCAUCAUUACAUUCAUUCACGACGAAAGAGGCCAUAGGCUGUCUCCGUUCCAAGGAAUACCACCGCUUUAUCUUCAUUACUUCAUAAUAUUGGUUAAUUUGUGCACCUUUGGAGUCCUCCAUUCUUCUUGAUAGUUAGAGUGUGAAGGAGGCAACAAAUGUACACUGUCACGUGAUACUGAGGAAUCCACUUCAGCCCGCCAAGAGUUUGUAAUUUGAGCAUGUGUAGUACUAUUCUUGAAUGACCAGUUUUGUCCCAACACGGCGCGCCGUCUCCAUCAUUUUGAAUUUCAAAUAAAAACGCUUGGACACACGUCAAGAUACGUCACUAAAGGUAAGAGGAAACUUCCAUAU